rnacentral:rRNA from 1 species
GACGAACGCUGGCGGCGUGCCUAAUACAUGCAAGUAGAACGCUGAAGGAGGAGCUUGCUCUUCUGGAUGAGUUGCGAACGGGUGAGUAACGCGUAGGUAACCUGCCUGGUAGCGGGGGAUAACUAUUGGAAACGAUAGCUAAUACCGCAUAACAGUAGAUGUUGCAUGACAUUUACUUAAAAGGUGCAAUUGCAUCACUACCAGAUGGACCUGCGUUGUAUUAGCUAGUUGGUGGGGUAACGGCUCACCAAGGUGACGAUACAUAGCCGACCUGAGAGGGUGAUCGGCCACACUGGGACUGAGACACGGCCCAGACUCCUACGGGAGGCAGCAGUAGGGAAUCUUCGGCAAUGGACGGAAGUCUGACCGAGCAACGCCGCGUGAGUGAAGAAGGUUUUCGGAUCGUAAAGCUCUGUUGUAAGAGAAGAACGAGUGUGAGAGUGGAAAGUUCACACUGUGACGGUAUCUUACCAGAAAGGGACGGCUAACUACGUG